CCCUAUGGGGUGCAGCAGUCGGGAAAACUCCGCAAUGCACGAAAGUGUGACGGGAGGAUUCAGAGUGCUCAGGCAAAAGCCUGGGCUUUUGCCAAAGGUAAAGACUUUGGCGAAUAAGUGGUGGGCAAGACUGGUGCCAGCCGCCGCGGUAACACCAGCGCCACGAGUGGGAACCGCCUUUAUUGGGUCUAAAGCAUCCGUAGCCUGCUCGACAAAUGCCUUGUGAAAUCGUGGUGCUCAACAUCACGACGUGCAAGGUAGACUAUCGAGCUUGGGACUGGAAGAGGUUGACGGUAUUCAAGGGGGAGCGGUAAAAUGUUAUAAUCCCUUGAGGACCACCGAUGGCGAAGGCAGUCAACCAGUACAGAUCCGACGGUGAGGGAUGAAAGCUAGGGGAGCGAUCCGGAUUAGAUACCCGAGUAGUCCUAGCCGUAAACGCUGCGUGCCAGAUGUUGCAUCAUCUUCGAGAUGAUGCAGUGUCGUAAUGAAGAUGUUAAGCACGCCACCUGGGGAGUACGGUCGCAAGUCUGAAACUUAAAGGAAUUGGCGGGGGAGCACUACAAGGCGUGCGGCGUGCGGUUUAAUUCAAUUCAACGCGGGAAACCUCACCAGUGGCGACGGCAGAAUGAAGGUCAGUCUAAAGGGCUUACCUAACGAGCCGAGAGGAGGUGCAUGG
rnacentral:rRNA from 1 species